GGUGGCUCCCGGAUGGUGGAGUAGAUGGUUUGUGCAGGCAGCGUCACUGGUGGUUCACGGAUCGUGGAGUAGAUCGUUUGAGGUGGCAGCGUUACUGGUGGUUCGCGGAUCGUGGAGUAGAUCGUUUGAGGUGGUAGCGUCACCGGAGGUUCGCGAAUCGUCGAGUAGAUCGUUUGCGCUGGCAGCGUUACCGGUGGCUGGGUAAUGGUGCAGCCCAGAGUGACCCAUAACACCGCACGCAUACUACGCACGGCACAGGAAUCGGAUAGUGUUGGUGGUGCCGGCCCUACGAUUAGUCCGAAU